GUGGGGAAUUUUGGACAAUGGGCGCAAGCCUGAUCCAGCAAUGCCGCGUGUGUGAAGAAGGCCUUCGGGUUGUAAAGCACUUUUGGCAGGAAAGAAAUAGUGCGUGCUAAUACCAUGCGCGAAUGACGGUACCUGCAGAAUAAGCACCGGCUAACUACGUGCCAGCAGCCGCGGUAAGACGUAGGGUGCAAGCGUUAAUCGGAAUUACUGGGCGUAAAGCGUGCGCAGGCGGUUUUGUAAGACAGGUGUGAAAUCCCCGGGCUCAACCUGGGAACUGCACUUGUGACUGCAAGGCUAGAGUGUGUCAGAGGGAGGUGGAAUUCCGCGUGUAGCAGUGAAAUGCGUAGAUAUCCGGAGGAACACCAGUGGCGAAGGCGGCUUCCUGGACAGUAACUGACGCUGAGACGCGAAAGCGUGGGGAGCAAACAGGAUUAGAAACCCGGGUAGUCC
rnacentral:rRNA from 1 species